UACGUAGGGUGCAAGCGUUGUCCGGAAUUAUUGGGCGUAAAGAGCUCGUAGGCGGUCUGUCGCGUCUGCUGUGAAAACUCAGGGCUUAACCCUGAGCUUGCAGUGGGUACGGGCAGACUAGAGUGCGGUAGGGGAGACUGGAAUUCCUGGUGUAGCGGUGAAAUGCGCAGAUAUCAGGAGGAACACCGGUGGCGAAGGCGGGUCUCUGGGCCGAUACUGACGCUGAGGCACGAAAGCGUGGGGAGCAAACAGG
rnacentral:rRNA from 1 species